rnacentral:rRNA from 1 species
ACAGAGGUCCCGAGCGUUGUUCGGAUUCACUGGGCGUAAAGGGUGCGCAGGUGGGUUGGCAAGUUCGAUGUGAAAGCCCCGGGCUUAACCCGGGAAAGGCAUUGAAAACUGCUGAUCUGGAGGAUUGGAGGGGGGACUGGAAUUCUUGGUGUAGCAGUGAAAUGCGUAGAUAUCAAGAGGAACACCAGUGGCGAAGGCGAGUCCCUGGACAAUACCUGACACUGAGGCACGAAAGCCGGGGGAGCAAACAGGA